rnacentral:rRNA from 1 species
UACAGAGGUCUCAAGCGGUGUUCGGAUUCAUUGGGCGUAAAGGGUGCGUAGGUGGCGCCGUAAGUCGGGUGUGAAAUUUCGGAGCUUAACUCCGAAACUGCAUUCGAUACUGCGGUGCUUGAGGACUGGAGAGGAGACUGGAAUUCAUGGUGUAGCAGUGAAAUGCGUAGAGAUCAUGAGGAAGACCAGUGGCGAAGGCGGGUCUCUGGACAGUUCCUGACACUGAGGCACGAAGGCCAGGGGAGCAAACGGG